AUUUCUUCAGGAAAUUCACACACCUCACUGACUUUCAAAAUAAUUUUGUCUUCCAGUGUAACAAAAGCUUAUAAAACAGGGCUGGUUGAUCCUAAAUCAGAAAAAUAAAUAUUCAUGUAUUGAAAUGUGAAGGAAUGACCAGAUUCUGCAGCUACAUCCAAACAGAAAAAUACUCAUGUAAAUUUGAAGUGAAUUUCUCUUUUCUCUUCUGCUGUUCUGGUUAUCUUAUACCUUCAAGUGGUCCUAGUUUAAUUGGCACAGAGUUGUGAAGGAAA